rnacentral:rRNA from 1 species
GUCUACAGCCAUGCCACACUGAACAUGCCUGAUCUCAUCUGAUCGCAGAAGCUAAGCAGGGUCAGGCCAGGCCUGGUUAGUACUUGGAUGGGUGACCACCUAGAAAUACCAGGUGCUGUAGGCU